GGAGGACUCCAUGAGCUCUGCCACCACGCUGAGCACGCCGCAGGAGCAGGUGGAUGAUCUGAUCCUGCAGAUCGCGGAGGAGAGCGGCCUGGAGGUGGAGGACCAGCUCAGUCAGCUGCCGGCGGGAGCCUCGUCACUGGGAGAGACGUCAGUGCGCUCGCAGGACAAAGAAGACCAGCUCUCCAGACGGUUGGCAGCUUUACGUAACUGAUGGCGUUCAGAGAUUCAAUCAAACCUUUCCUGCGUGGAGGACGCUGGUUU